GCCUGGUUAGUUCAGUGGUUUGAAUGCGGUGCUGACAACAUGACAACACCGAGGUCGCGGGUUCAAUUCCCGCUCAGUUG
rnacentral:tRNA from 1 species